rnacentral:lncRNA from 1 species
ACGAACCCUUGUUGUGGUGGUUGUUAUGGUGGUGUUGAUCUUAGCGACAGCGGGGACGACUACUGGUUAAAGAUGACCUUAUUUGAUAGGGUUAGGGUUUGAGGUGAUAUUGGGCUGGUUCAGUUUGUUUUGUUUUUAAUUAUGGGUGGUCAUGAUCCGGUUUGAUCAAAUUUUCCCUUCGAAUUGGAAUCAAAAUCAAAACUUA